rnacentral:rRNA from 1 species
UCCAUUGAACCUUAUCAUUUAGAGUAAGGAUGAGGUCGUAACAAGGUUUCCGUAGGUGAACCUGCGGAAGGAUCAUUUGUCGAGACCGAAAAUACAUCGAGCGAUUUGGAGAACCCGUUAAAAAAAUUCGUUGGCUAUUGUUGCCAUGAUAAAAGCCGUCCCAGUCGCUGCCUCAUCCCCUUGGGGGCGGGGACGUGAGGAAGGAUGGGAUGAACACUCAAACCGACGCAGCAUCGCCGCCAAGGGAUUAUCAAGACAUGAGCCUUAAAUGGAUCUGGUGGAAUGGGGUGCUAUUGCAUGCCAUAUGGAUUGAUACGACUCUCGGCAAUGGAUAUCUCGGCUCUCGCAUCGAUGAAGAGCGCAGCGAAAUGCGAUACGUGGUGCGAAUUGCAGAAUCCCGCCGACCAUCGAGUCUUUGAACGCAAGUUGCCCCCGGAGGCCAAUCGGCCAAGGGCACGUCUACCUGGGCGUCAAGCAUUACGUCGCUCCGUGUCAACUCCAUCCCAUUGAUCGAUGGAUUGGUGAAGGCUCGGAUGUGCAGACUGGCCCGUCGUGCCCACGUGCGGCGGGUUGAAGAGCGGGUCAUUGUCUCGUUGGCUGCAGGCAAUACGGGGUGGAUUAAGGCGAGGCCUAUGUUAUUGUGUCAUGCAUGCCCGAGGGAUGAUUAUACAUUAUCAGGUGAUCCCAAAUCAUGCGUUGAUCCAUGGAUGGCGUAUGGAAUGCGACCAUCAAGGAUGGGCGAGGCCACCCGCUGAGUUUAAGCAUAUCAAUAAGCGGAGGAGAAGAA